UCUUUUCUCUUUGUAGGUAACUCAGCAAGCAGAAUGGGACCUGUUUGUUCAGUCUUGCGUGAUUUAUGUGAACCACAGCUGAUGUCAUCAGUGAGAUCAUUUCAUAGCUUGCGUUUGCUGUAGGGAACAGACUCUCCAGAUCUGCUCUUUCUGAACAAAGUGAGUUCCUGGCAUUUUUGAAGUCUCAUGAAUGGGUCAAGGUCAGCUGUGGAGGAUCCUUCAGCGUUCCAUACAUGGUAAUGGGAAUAUCCACAUUGCUCUACAGUUCGCUGCCAUGAUUUAAAUUCGAUCUA
rnacentral:lncRNA from 1 species